UACGAAGGGGGCUAGCGUUGCUCGGAAUCACUGGGCGUAAAGGGUGCGUAGGCGGGUCUUUAAGUCAGGGGGUGAAAUCCUGGAGCUCAACUCCAGAACUGCCUUUGAUACUGAGGAUCUUGAGUUCGGGAGAGGUGAGUGGAACUGCGAGUGUAGAGGUGAAAUUCGUAGAUAUUCGCAAGAACACCAGUGGCGAAGGCGGCUCACUGGCCCGAUACUGACGCUGAGGCACGAAAGCGUGGGGAGCAACAGG
rnacentral:rRNA from 1 species